rnacentral:rRNA from 1 species
UACGGAGGGUGCGAGCGUUGUCCGGAAUCAUUGGGCGUAAAGGGCGCGUAGGUGGCCUGGCAAGCGUGCGGUGAAAGCUCGGGGCUCAACCCCGAGUCGGCCGUGCGAACUGCUGGGCUCGAGCACUGUAGAGGCAGGCGGAAUUCCGGGUGUAGCGGUGGAAUGCGUAGAUAUCUGGAGGAACACCGGUGGCGAAGGCGGCAUCCUGGACCAACACUGACGCUGAGGAGCGAAAGCCAGGGGAGCAAACGGG